rnacentral:lncRNA from 1 species
CCAAACACACACGCAAGACAUGGGAGAGGAGCUCAUGGCUUCCACUUCCACCUUCAAGAAACUGAGGUCCAUCCGGAGAGUUACAGGGGUAAAGGCCAUGUGGUGGGUCACCAGCUAAGCGGGCAUGAACACCUUGGUGUCAGCCCAAAGACCUCCCAAAGGAGAGGCUGAAACAAGCAGGAUGAGGCUGGCUUCCUGUCACCGUCUGUAACCAGCGACAGUACCCAUGCUGACCG